GGGCGGCUAGCUCAGUUGGUUAGAGCGCCAUGCUCACACCGUGGAGGUCACAGGUUCGAGCCCUGUGCCGCCCA
rnacentral:tRNA from 1 species